GCUGGGCAUGGUGGCACGUGCCUGUAAUCCCAGCUACUCGGGAGGCUGAGGCAGGAGAAUUGCCUGAACCCAGGAGGCGGAGGUUGCGGUGAGCCGAGAUCGCACCAUUGCACUCCAGCCUGGGUAACAAGAGCAAAACUGCGUCUCGGAAAAAGAAAAGCGUUUAGAGUAUGCCGAAUUUCUUUUUUCUUUUUUGAGAUAGAGUCGCACUCUGUCGCCAGGCUGGAGUGCAGUGGUGUGAUUUUGGCUCACUGCAGCCUCCGCCUCCCGGGUUCAAGUGAUUCUCUUGCCUCAG
rnacentral:sRNA from 1 species